rnacentral:rRNA from 1 species
GAUGAACGCUGGCGGUCUGCUUAACACAUGCAAGUCGAACGCAACCUUCGGGUUGAGUGGCGGACGGGUGAGUAACGCGUGAGAAUCUGCCUUGGGGUCGGGGACAACCAUUGGAAACGGUGGCUAAUACCGGAUACGCCUUCGGGUAAAAGAUUUAUUGCCCUAAGAGGAGCUCGCGUCUGAUUAGCUAGUUGGUGAGGUAAGAGCUCACCAAGGCAGCGAUCAGUAGCAGGUCUGAGAGGACGAUCAGCCACACUGGGACUGAGACACGGCCCAGACUCCUACGGGAGGCAGCAGUGGGGAAUUUUCCGCAAUGGGCGAAAGCCUGACGGAGCAAGACCGCGUGAGGGAGGAAGGCUCUUGGGUUGUAAACCUCUUUUCUCAGGGAAGAAGCUCUGGCGGUACCUGAGGAAUCAGCCUCGGCUAACUCCGUGCCAGCAGCCGCGGUAAUACGGAGGAGGCAAGCGUUAUCCGGAAUUAUUGGGCGUAAAGCGUCCGCAGGUGGCGAUUCAAGUCUGCUGUCAAAGCACGGGGCUUAACUCCGUAAAGGCAGUGGAAACUGAAUAGCUAGAGUGCCGUAGGGGUAGAGGGAAUUCCCGGUGUAGCGGUGAAAUGCGUAGAGAUCGGGAAGAACAUCGGUGGCGAAAGCGCUCUACUGGACGGCAACUGACACUCAGGGACGAAAGCUAGGGGAGCGAAUGGGAUUAGAUACCCCAGUAGUCCUAGCUGUAAACGAUGGAUACUAGGUGUAGCUUGUAUCGACCCGAGCUGUGCCGAAGCUAACGCGUUAAGUAUCCCGCCUGGGGAGUACGCACGCAAGUGUGAAACUCAAGGAAUUGACGGGGGCCCGCACAAGCGGUGGAGUAUGUGGUUUAAUUCGAUGCAACGCGAAGAACCUUAC